UCUACGGGAGGCUGCAGUCGAGAAUCUUUCGCAAUGCCCGAAAGGGUGACGAAGCGACGCCGCGUGAGCGAAGAAGGCCUUAGGGUUGUAAAGCUCUGUCGAGGGUUAUGAAAUAUAAAUGGGAUAAUACCUCAUUUAUUUGACAAAAGCCCAAGAGGAAGUCACGGCUAACUCUGUGCCAGCAGCCGCGGUAAUACAGAGGUGGCAAGCGUUGUUCGGUAUUAUUGGGCGUAAAGAGCACGUAGGUGGUUUUGUAAGUCAGGUGUGAAAGCCUUCUGUUCAAAGGAAGAACGGCAUCUGAAACUGCAGAUCUUGAGUGUAGGAGGGGAGAGUGGAACUUCUGGUGGAGCGGUGAAAUGCGUAGAUAUCAGAAGGAACGUCGGCGGCGAAAGCGACUCUCUGGCCUAUAACUGACACUGAGGUGCGAAAGUUAGGGGAGCAAACGGGAUUAGAUACCCCGGUAGUCCUAACCGUAAACGAUGGGCACUAAGUAGAGGGAAUUACCAAUGUUCUCUCUGCUGUAGCUAACGCAUUAAGUGCCCCGCCUGGGGAGUACGGCCGCAAGGCUAAAACUCAAAAGAAUUGACGGGG
rnacentral:rRNA from 1 species